AUUGAACGCUGGCGGCAUGCCUUACACAUGCAAGUCGAACGGCAGCACGGGAGCAAUCCUGGUGGCGAGUGGCGAACGGGUGAGUAAUAUAUCGGAACGUGCCCGGUCGUGGGGGAUAACGUAGCGAAAGCUACGCUAAUACCGCAUACGAUCUACGGAUGAAAGCGGGGGAUCGCAAGACCUCGCGCGAUUGGAGCGGCCGAUAUCAGAUUAGGUAGUUGGUGAGGUAAAGGCUCACCAAGCCGACGAUCUGUAGCUGGUCUGAGAGGACGACCAGCCACACUGGGACUGAGACACGGCCCAGACUCCUACGGGAGGCAGCAGUGGGGAAUUUUGGACAAUGGGCGCAAGCCUGAUCCAGCAAUGCCACGUGCAGGAUGAAGGCC
rnacentral:rRNA from 1 species